rnacentral:rRNA from 1 species
GCAUGGCUGUCGUCAGCUCGUGUCGUGAGAUGUUGGGUUAAGUCCCGCAACGAGCGCAACCCUCGCCUUUAGUUGCCAGCAUUCAGUUGGGCACUCUAAGGAGACUGCCGGUGUUAAACCGGAGGAAGGCGGGGAUGACGUCAAGUCCUCAUGGCCCUUAUGUCCAGGGCUACACACGUGCUACAAUGGCCGGUACAAAGGGUAGCAAGACCGCGAGGUGGAGCCAACCCCAAAAGGCCGGUCUCAGUUCGGAUUGGAGUCUGCAACUCGACUCCAUGAAGUUGGAAUCGCUAGUAAUCGUGGAUCGGCAUGCCCACGGUCGAAUACGUUCCGGGCCUU